rnacentral:misc_RNA from 1 species
AAAGUAUAAUGAAAAACUUAUAUAUCAUUAAUUUGUUUUCUUGUUUCCACACUUAUUUGAUGAGUAGAUCAAGUAAAUAAAAACAAAAAAAAAUUUUUUUUAAAAACUCUUGACUUCCAAAAUUACAGAAUAUUUUAUUACAUGUUCCUUAGUUCAAAAUACCUAUUUAAACAAGAAUAAGUGUUUAAAGGUUAAAAGAACCUAAAAAUAUUUGUAUGUCACUGAUGACACAGUUAAUUAACUGAUGAUUCAGAUAAGUGAGAUAUUUGAUGGUAUUGAUGUUCCUUUUGAUAGUUAACGAUACACUGGACGACAUUCUGGGAGAAUCGGGAGACGAGGAGGAAUCUGACGCUGUCGUCAGUCAGGUUCUGGACGAGAUCGGAAUCGAAAUCACCGGCAAGGUACAUGUAAAACUAAGCCCUAUAAUCACUAAACACUACAUUUGUAAAGAUUUUGCUGUUAUCUGUUUUCCAGUACAUGUAUUUCAUUUCAAAAUCAUAAGACAUAAAACAUGCAGAAUUUAUAUCAGUAAUUGUGUACUAUUUAAGACUUUGUAUUUGCAAAUAUUACUUGUGCAAACUAUAAAGCUCUCAGAUUAAAAAUUUUGCAAAAUUUGCUGCAGAUAAAAAAAACAACCCUGAAAUGUAGUAUGUGUUAUGUUGUAGGAUUAUAAACUUUUUACUGCAAUCCUAAAUAUCCAUUGUUUUCAUUAUAGAUGGUACAUGCGCCAGCUGCUCCAAGUAAAGGUCUCGGGGAGACGUCGAAAUCUCGGGUAACGGACGACGACAUAGAGAGACAGUUAGCCGCCCUGAAGGAUCUAUAGCGUCCUACCUCCGUACAGGGCAGGGGAAUUCUGGGAAAAUUGUUUCACCCCCCUCCCUCCCUGGUCUCAUGUGAUAUCUAGGUCUUAACAUUAAACUAUUUUAAUUUUACGUGGCCUUUGGAGUGGACGUGAUGGAAUACAAAAUUUGCAGAAUGAGAGAUUCCAUGAGGAUUAUGUUGUCAGCCUGUAAAAAGGAAAUACAGUGUUUACUGUCUAGCAUAAAUCUUGAUUUCAUUGUAGUCUUAAAUCCUGUAUAUCAAUAUUUGAAUGGAUUGAAAUAUUGUUUGGUUUUUUUUACUUGAAAACGAAUUCACUGUGUUUAAUUUUAAGACAUUUAAAAAGAAUGCAUAAAAAAAACUGGAGUAAAAACAGAAUUGUUUCCACUCUCUUAAUUAUUCAGGGUUAGAUUCAGUCAAUAAUUAUUAUAUUUCUUAAAAUUAAUCCUCGUUUAUGUUAUUCUUGAUGUUUCUGUGCAAGUAAGAUUUAUAUGUGUUCUACGAACAUGAACUAUAAAACAAUUUUGUAUAUACAAAUUAUUGUAAAUUAUGACGUAUUUACCGUGUGUAGGUUUAGUUUUACCAUUUUUAUUUCAGUCUACAUAUCCAAAUAUAUACAAUGUUUGAAACAGGUGUUUGAAAAGGAAUUGAAAUAUGUGAUGAAAAUCGAUAAUGAUUUCAACGACAGAACUGUGUGUGAGUGCAGAGUGGGUGAGUGGUUCAUUGUCUUGUUGUGUAUUGUUUUCUGACUGUAUCUUUUAUUAUCAAACAAAAUUGAUUUCAUUGUUAUUAAAAUGUUGAUAGAAGU